GACGAACGCUGGCGGCGUGCUUAACACAUGCAAGUCGAACGGAAAGGCCCUGCUUUUGUGGGGUGCUCGAGUGGCGAACGGGUGAGUAACACGUGAGUAACCUGCCCUUGACUUUGGGAUAACUUCAGGAAACUGGGGCUAAUACCGGAUAGGAGCUCCUGCUGCAUGGUGGGGGUUGGAAAGUUUCGGCGGUUGGGGAUGGACUCGCGGCUUAUCAGCUUGUUGGUGGGGUAGUGGCUUACCAAGGCUUUGACGGGUAGCCGGCCUGAGAGGGUGACCGGCGACAUUGGGACUGCGAUACGGAGCAGACGGCUACGGGAGGCAGCAGUGGGGAAUAUUGCACAGUGGGCGGAAGCCUGAUGCAGCAACGCCGCGUGCGUGAUGACGGCCUGCGGGUUGUGAACCGCUUUCGCCUGUGACGAAGCGUGAGUGACGGUAAUGAGUAAAAAAGCACCGGCUAACUACGUG
rnacentral:rRNA from 1 species